rnacentral:rRNA from 1 species
AUUGAACGCUGGCGGCAUGCCUUACACAUGCAAGUCGAACGGCAGCAUAGGAGCUUGCUCCUGAUGGCGAGUGGCGAACGGGUGAGUAAUAUAUCGGAACGUGCCCUAGAGGGGGGGGUAACUAGUCGAAAGACUAGCUAAUACCGCAUACGGUCUACGGAUGAAAGUGGGGGAUCGCAAGACCUCAUGCUCCUGGAGCGGCCGAUAUCUGAUUAGCUAGUUGGUGGGGUAAAAGCUCACCAAGGCGACGAUCAGUAGCUGGUCUGAGAGGACGACCAGCCGCACUGGGACUGAGACACGGCCCAGACUCCUACGGGAGGCAGCAGUGGGGAAUUUUGGACAAUGGGGGCAACCCUGAUCCAGCAAUGCCGCGUGAGUGAAGAAGGCCUUCGGGUUGUAAAGCUCUUUUGUCAGGGAAGAAACGGUUCUGGAUAAUACCUGGGACUAAUGACGGUACCUGAAGAAUAAGCACCGGCUAACUACGUGCCAGCAGCCGCCGUAA